rnacentral:rRNA from 1 species
CGCUGGCGGCAUGCCUAACACAUGCAAGUCGAACGGGAUCCAGGCUUCGGCCUGGUGAGAGUGGCGGACGAGUGAGUAACGCGUGGGAACCUGCCCAAUGGUCUGGGAUAACCGCGGGAAACUGCGGCUAAUACCGGAUAAGCCCGAGAGGGGAAAGAUUUAUCGCCGAUGGAGGGGCCCGCGUCCGAUUAGGUAGUUGGUGAGGUAAUGGCUCACCAAGCCUACGAUCGGUAGCUGGUCUGAGAGGAUGAUCAGCCACACUGGGACUGAGAUACGGCCCAGACUCCUACGGGAGGCAGCAGUGGGGAAUAUUGGACAAUGGGGGCAACCCUGAUCCAGCAAUGCCGCGUGAGUGAUGAAGGCCUUAGGGUUGUAAAGCUCUUUUGCCAGGGACGAUGAUGACGGUACCUGGAGAAUAAGCCCCGGCU